rnacentral:tRNA from 1 species
CACUAGAUGGCUGAAAGUAAGUAAUGGUCUCUUAAACCAAUUUAUAGUAAUUUAACACCUACUUC